UUCAUUUGGUUCAACUUAAAAUUAUAAAAAAUAAUUUUCUGAGAAACAUUUUAUGUUUUGUAGUGUUUGGUUUGUUAAAAAAAAAUGUUUUCAUGCAUAUUUGUUUGGUUGAAAGAAAAAAAAGAUUCACAUUUGUCUAUUUCUGUGGAAAAAAUGAAUGAUAAAGUUUUAUGCAACUUAAGUUUUCGUUUUCCGCUGAAAAAUAAUGGAAAACAAAUUCAAUUUUUUUUUCUAAAUUUGUAAAAAUAUUUUUCUAUAAAAAUAUUUUUACGUUGAACCAAACAAAUGAAAAAUUAUUUUUCAUACUGAAAAUAAUUUCUCGAUUCGUUUUACAUUGA
rnacentral:lncRNA from 1 species